UACCCUUCCCCAUUUAAUUUACAAACACAAUGAUACUGAAAUUUUGGUUUUAUUAGAUUAUUUCAGAUGACCAAAGCCAGUUUUGGUUCUAAAGUCAUCUGAUGAUGGUGCUUGAAAGUGAUCUUAGAGUAAGAGUCUGCAGGGAAGACUAUCAAGAAAAUGACCAAAGCCAUCUGAUGAUGGUGCUUGGAAGCGUACCUCAUCUUAAAGUAAGAGACUGUGAAGACUAUUAAGAAAAAAUUGUUGGUCUCUUACAAAAAGGGAUAUGAAAUCUAUGGAAUCUUUUCUACUUGCUUCAACUGCGAGUUUGUGGAGAUCAAAAGUUUCCAGACUUGCUCCUGAAUGUUGAUAAAAGAUGGAGGGUUCUUAAACAUACGCAUAUUCUCACAUAGUAGCAAGAGAUACGAAUUGUCGUGGACAGGAUUCCUUUCAAUCCUUGUUGACUUGCAUUGAGAAUCAUGUGCUUCCAGCGACUGAUGAAGCUGAGCCACUAUGGACAAAAUUUAGUUUUAUUGGACCAAGAUGAGUUACACGUUCUUUCCACAUUCUGUUUUCAGCUUAAUAAGUACAAGAAACAUUACCAUAUGGUGAUCUUCCGAGGAGUAACAGUGUGGAAGUCAAUACCUGAAUGUUGAAUUAUUGGUGCUCAGUGGCCGGGAGUAUCACGAAAAUUUUGUGAAAAUGGAAAAGUGAUGCAGCCCAACUUAGAAAUGCCCUCAUGGAGGAUCUUGAGUGAAGGAGGAAAGGAUUCAAGAAUGGAAAUUUUCGAUUCUAUAGGAGAUAAAUCAUGCGUAACCUCUGCUCAAGCAAGAAUGUGACUAAUCAUAGGACAGAAACCCCGUGCAACCCUCGUGCGACAUUGGCUGGAGUGAAGUUACGACAAUUUUUAAUAAAGACUAAUUUUGUAAUUUUACUUUCAGCGUUGAACCCAGGGUUCUAUUUAAGCACAAUAAGAUCGGCUUGACCGUCUAGUUGUUAUUGUUGUUGAGUUUUAUGAAUAAGAAUGUUGAAGAGAGAGUUUUUCUUUUGUUUCCUAUAUUCCUAUUCUAGGCUUU